rnacentral:tRNA from 1 species
GUGGGUGUAGGACAGUCUGGUAGUCCGCUUGCUUUGGGAGCAAGAAGUCGCUGGUUCGAAUCCAGUCACCCGCACCA